rnacentral:rRNA from 1 species
GAUGAACGCUGGCGGCGUGCUUAACACAUGCAAGUCGAACGGACAGGCCCUGCUUUUGCGGGGCGCUCGUGUGGCGAGCGGGUGAGUGAAACGCGUGUAUCCCGCCCCUGACUUUGGGGUAUCAUCAGGAAACUGGGGCUCAUACAGGAUAGGAGCUCUUGCUGCAUGGUGGGGGUUGGAAAGUUCCGGCGGUUGGGGAUAGACUGGCGGCUUAUCAGCUUGUUGGUGGGGUAGUGGCUUACGAAGGCUUUGACGGGUAGCCGGCCUGGGAGGGUGACCGGGCACCAGGGGACUACGGGAGGGCCCAGACGCGUACGUGAGGCAGCAGGGGGGAAGAUGGCGCAAUGGGGGGAAGCCAGAUGCGGCAACGCUGCGAGCGGGAUGCCGUCUUUCUGGUUAUAAACCGAUGUCGCCUGUGACGAAGCGGGAUUGACGGUAAUGGGUAAGGAAGCACCGGCUAACUACGUG